GGGGUCGUAGCUCAGUUGGUUAGAGCGCCGGCCUGUCACGCCGGAGGUCGCGAGUUCGACCCUCGUCGACCCCGCCA
rnacentral:tRNA from 1 species